GAUUUGAGAGGGGCUGCUCCUAGUACGAGAGGACCGGAGUGGACGAACCUCUGGUGUUCCGGUUGUCACGCCAGUGGCAUUGCCGGGUAGCUAUGUUCGGAAGAGAUAACCGCUGAAAGCAUCUAAGCGGGAAACUUGCCUCAAGAUGAGAUCUCACUGGGAUCUUGAAUCCCCUAAAGGGCCGUCGAAGACUACGACGUUGAUAGGUUGGGUGUGUAAGCGCUGUGAGGCGUUGAGCUAACCAAUACUAAUUGCCCGUGAGGCUUGACCAUAUAACACCCAAGCA
rnacentral:rRNA from 1 species